rnacentral:rRNA from 1 species
AAUAUUGGACAAUGGGGGCAACCCUGAUCCAGCCAUGCCGCGUGUGUGAAGAAGGUCUUCGGAUUGUAAAGCACUUUAAGUUUGGCGGAAGGGCUUUAGGUUAAUACCCUGAAGUUUUGACGUUACCAACAUAAUUAGCUCCGGCUAACUAUGUGCCAGCAGCCGCGGUAAUAAAGAGGGUGCAAGCGUUAAUCGGAAUUACUGGGCGUAAAGCGCGCGUAGGUGGUUCAGGACGAUGGGUGUGAAAUCCCCGGGCUUAACCUGGGAACUGCUUUCAUAACUGCUGAGCUAGAGUACUGUAGAGGGUAGUGGAAUUUCCUGUGUAGCGGUGAAAUGCGUAGAUAUAGGAAGGAACACCAGUGGCGAAGGCGACUACCUGGACUGAUACUGACACUGAGGUGCGAAAGCGUGAGGAGCAAAC